GACGAACGCUGGCGGCGUGCUUAACACAUGCAAGUCGAACGGAAAGGCCCUGCUUUUGUGGGGUGCUCGAGUGGCGAACGGGUGAGUAACACGUGAGUAACCUGCCCUUGACUUUGGGAUAACUUCAGGAAACUGGGGCUAAUACCGGAUAGGAGCUCCUGCUGCAUGGUGGGGGUUGGAAAGUUUCGGCGGUUGGGGAUGGACUCGCGGCUUAUCGGCUUGUUGGUGGGGUAGUGGCUUACCAAGGCUUUGACGGGUAGCCGGCCUGAGUGGGUGACCGGCCACAUUGGGACUGGGAUACGGCCCAGACUCCUACGGGAGGCAGCGGUGGGGAAUAUUGCACAAUGGGCGGAAGCCUGAUGCAGCAACGCCGCGUGCGGGAUGACGGCCUUCGGGUUGUAAACCGCUUUCGCCUGUGACGAAGCGUGAGUGACGGUAAUGGGUAAAGAAGCACCGGCUAACUACGUG
rnacentral:rRNA from 1 species